GGGAAGAUCUUCAAUGUUGGUAUUUGAAGCUGACCUGUAAAUUCAGUGAUAUGUUUUAUCUUCAUACGUUCGAUUCGUAUUCUUCUCA